UACGUAGGGUGCGAGCGUUGUCCGGAAUUACUGGGCGUAAAGAGCUCGUAGGUGGUUUGUCGCGUUGUUCGUGAAAACUCACAACUCAAUUGUGGGCGUGCGGGCGAUACGGGCAGACUGGAGUACUGCAGGGGAGACUGGAAGUUCCUGGUGUAGCGGUGGAAUGCGCAGAUAUCAGGAGGAACACCGGUGGCGAAGGCGGGUCUCUGGGCAGUAACUGACGCUGAGGAGCGAAAGCGUGGGGGAGCAAACAGG
rnacentral:rRNA from 1 species